UUGCUUUAGUAGCACAUGUACUAAAACCGGAACGAUACAGAGAAGAUUAGCAUGGCUCCUGUGUGUGGAUGACACGCAAAUUCAUGAAGCGUUCCAUUGAAAA
ensembl:snRNA U6 U6 spliceosomal RNA